rnacentral:rRNA from 1 species
AACGAACGCUGGCGGCAGGCUUAACACAUGCAAGUCGAGCGCCCCGCAAGGGGAGCGGCAGACGGGUGAGUAACGCGUGGGAAUCUACCUUUUGCUACGGAAUAACUCAGGGAAACUUGUGCUAAUACCGUAUGUGCCCUUCGGGGAAAGAUUUAUCGGCAAAGGAUGAGCCCGCGUUGGAUUAGCUAGUUGGUGGGGUAAAGGCCUACCAAGGCGACGAUCCAUAGCUGGUCUGAGAGGAUGAUCAGCCACACUGGGACUGAGACACGGCCCAG